rnacentral:miRNA from 18 species
UCAUGCCGUUGCAUUUGCUAGCGAGGAGGCCCGGGCCGCUGAAUCCGGCGACCCCGAUCUCUUCGCUAGCGGAUUUGGCCGCUCGGA